rnacentral:rRNA from 1 species
UUUUUGAAAAUAAUAUAAAGUCUAAUCUGCCCACUGAAUUAAUUUAAAGGGCUGCAGUAUAUUGACUGUACAAAGGUAGCAUAAUCAAUAGUCUUUUAAUUGAAGACUUGUAUGAAUGAUUUGAUGAAAUAUAAACUGUCUCUUUUUUAAAAUUAAAAUUUAAUUUUUUAGUUAAAAAGCUAAAAUAAAUAUAAAAGACGAGAAGACCCUAUAGAGUUUUAUAAUUAUUUUUAUUUAUUUUAUAUAUUAAUAUUAAAAAUUAAAUGUAAAUAAUUAUUUUGUUGGGGUGAUAGAAAAAUUUAAUUAACUUUUUUUAAAAUUUAACAUUAAUAUAUGAAUAUAUGAUCCAUAUUUUAUGAUUAAAAGAAUAAAUUACCUUAGGGAUAACAGCGUAAUUUUUUUUUUUAGUUCAUAUAAAAAAAAGAGUUUGCGACCUCGAUGUUGGAUUAAGAUAAAAUUUAAAUGCAAAAGUUUAAAAUUUUUGAUCUGUUCGAUCAUUAAAAUCUUACAUGAUCUGA